rnacentral:lncRNA from 1 species
AAGUAUCCCUGGUCCCCCAAGAGGGAAUCUUUCUCUCCUUUACCCUUUGGUGUUUCUUAAUGUGCUGCUUGGCCUGUCUGUCCUCCCCUGACUGAGCACCUUAAGGACGGCUCUGUAGCUGAGAUACGUGGGCGAGGGAGUCAAGGACUGCUGGAAUGAAUGAACAUAGGAGCAGCCAGUCUGCCUGUUUCCUGCCAACACUUCCAGUCUUUAACUACCUUUCGGGUUUUGCCCCUUCCCUGCUCAGACUUUCUCCGUAGCUCCCUGUUUCUUAGCGCAUCCAGUCUGCUGUGUAUGCCUCUUCCCAGCUGUGGGUAUGCCCCUCAGCCCAUGGGUCGCACUCACAAUCAGGCACCCUUUCCUUCUCCAGGCCAGCCUUGUGCUGGCCACUUCCCCAGGGACAGGCGUGUGAGCCUCUUGCUGGCCUUAUGGAGCCCUCAAACUGGAGAGGAUGCAAGAGGGGAGAUGCCCAGCAACAAUACCAGGCUGAGCGUACAAGGAUAAGAACGUGUACAGGAGCAGAACUUGUACCACAGACGAAGGAGAGGGAGUAGAGAGAGCUUCAGGGAAGGGAGAGGGAAUGCUGAGCAGGGUUUAGAAGGCUGAAUAUGAGUUCACCAGGUGGAUCAGAGGGAAGGCCAUGCUUGGCAGAGGGAAGAUAGCAGAUAGGCAGUGAGUAAUUGCUGAAGAGAAGAAAGAAUCUCUAGACUACACUCAGAGAUUGAUGGUGGAGCCCUAGAUUUGGACUCCCGGGUCAGCUCUGCUAUUUACUUGCUAAACAUCACUGAGCAAGCUCCUUUUCUGGAGUCUCAAGACCCACAUCUGUAAAAUGGAUGUAACAUCCCUCCUGGGACUGCCUGACGAGAAACGGAUAUACAUAAAAAUUUAUCCAAAUAAACAGUGUGAUUCAUGACGUCAGAAAUUCAAUCAACUCCCUUUCCCAGGUCAGGGUGGUAUUUGAAGACAAAGCAGAAUGGCCAGAAAAACAGCUUUACCCUCGCCCCACCCCACCAUACCUGUCCAGACCCCCAGGACCUGCUCAAAAUUCCAUUUCUAGGUGAUCUCUCUCUGUAAACGUUUUAUGACCCCUGGAGGCUACUGUUUAGAGGUAAACUCAUCAGAAGCGAUUGACACUGGAUCAGAGAGAGAUUCUCAGGUGGACAAGUUUAUUUUGGGUGUGGCUAAGUCCUGGGGAACAGGAUUUAACUCCAACCAGGGAGGGAACACCGGAGAAAGCCCACGGAAGUGGCAUCCGAGUCUGGAAAGUUGGGAUGCAGGGGGAGGUAGGGCAGGAGCAGAUGGCUGGAGGGGGACCACGAAGGAGCAGCUUGAGCCGGAGAGAGAGCCAGGCAAGGUAGCCCUUCUGGCUGGAGGGUACGGGGUUGGGAGAGAGAAGAGAUGAAGACGGGGGUUUGAGUGAGAGGAGCUGAAGAGAUGGGGUCACAAAGGCCCUCAAGUGCCAGGUAUAGGAGUUAGGGCUUUAUUCAGUGGGCAGUGGGGAACCAUGGAGGGUGUUUGAGCAGCGGAAGGACAGGAGGAAAUCUCAGCCUCCCCUCAAGCCUUCCCUACCCUGAGGCUGUAAAGGGGGUGUGAGGCGGCUGUGGAGCCCUACGGCUCAGCUUGGAGGGACGGGCCCCCCACCCCGCCCCAGCCCACUCCACCCUAAGCCGCGCUCACACUGGCAGCUUUGUUCCCUGGAGGCUACCUUCACCCCUGGAAGAAACGCGGGCUUUUUCUGGGUCUGAUUCCAAGCAGUUCCAGCCCUAGCCAGUCGGAGGACAAGAGCUCCCCGCCGCUGGCGGGGCGGUGCCAGGUGGCAGGGCGAUGCUGGAGCCUGGGUCGUGCCGGGGAGCACGCACGCGGUUCCGGCGGCUGCGCGGGGCGGGGCCUAGCGGCUUGCGAGUCACUAACGGACUGGCCCUGAGCUAACAUCCGUGCCCAUCUUCCUCUACUUUAUAUGUGGGACACCUACCACAGCAUGGCUUGCCAAGUGGUGCCAUGUCCGCACCCGGGACCCGAACCGGUGAACCCAGGGCCACCGAAGCGGAAGGUGCGCACUUAACCUCUGUGCCACCAGGCCGACCCAGGGCAGGAUAGCCUGGGCUUCUGUACAGCCUGCCAGCUGGGGCCAAGAGGGAGCCUUCUGAGCGGACGGGCCCUGAUGUGGAAAAGCUUACGAAGCCUGCUCAUAUCACUGCAAACAUUCUGGAUGUGACUUGCUUUGUUUCAAUCUAUAAUGAGCAUUUUCUCUGAGUCAAUAUUAUUCCCAGCCUGAUUUGUAAUGGCUGACUGAUAGCCCAUCCUUAAUUCAACCAAUUCCCUGUUGGUAAAUAUUUAGGUGGCUUUCAUUUGGGGGCAGUUAUAACAACUCUGUGAAGAUCAACUUUGUACCAAGAACUUGGUACAAAUCCCUGUAGGAGAGGGAUUACGAGGUCAAAGGGUGGGGGCAUUUUUUGGCUUUGCCAAAUCGCCUUUCAAAAACAUGGUGCGUAUGACACUUCCACCAGCUCUAAAGGGACCUACCAUUUUCACAGUUCUCUGGCCAAUACUGGGUGUGGUUUGUCUUUUCAGUCUUUGUCAUUGGAUUGGUGAAAAAUAGCAUCUCGCCCUUGUCUUCAAAAGAGAGAAAAUUAGAAGUAAGUUGCCCAGAGCGAGAUGCUUAAGAAGAGUUCUUGUCUUUUACUCGGAAGCGGCCCUAAUAAAUCAAUAGGGACGCGGGCAGCGCAAUGCAGGUCAAUCUGCCUGGCUGACUCAGGCUGUAAAAAGGAGACCAGUGCUGACUGCUGAGCUCCUGGCUCCGGGGAUCAGGUCACUGAGUCCUCGCUGUGCGGUUGAUUCGGACAAGCCUGCUGCUUUCCUGUCCUAGGUCUGCCAGUCUUCCGGUGGGCACAGGGCACACGGCCUCACCUGCCACGCCUGCCAUGCCCAUCAUAACAAUGGCCCUGUCCCCUCUGACUCUGGAGGGCCUGGUGCUGAGGUCUGGACAUGGCCGGCUAUGACUCAUGAGAGCUGUGAGAAGGGUGAAUAAAGCUGGACCCUGAGAUUGGUCCUUGGCCUUGAGCAGGCAGAGCCAUUCCUCAUGGCCUCAAAUACUUGUGCACAAGGGGACACCUUCCUGGGAGGAAGCGGUAGUCCUGGACUCAGAGCUAGCCCUGCUUCUUACUAACUGAGGAGCAAGCAAGGGAGCCUUUCUGAGCCUCAGUUUCUUUAUCUAGAAUAUGGAGGCAAUAGAGCUUUAGGGAUUAUGAUGUACUUCCUCUCUGCCUGAUACUUGUAAUCCUCGCAGGACCCCUCAAAGUUGGGAGUAUCCCCCCUACUUUACAGAUGAAGCAAAGGGAGGCCCAGAGAAGGGAAAUAACUUACCCAAGGUCACACAGCAAGUAAGUGGCAGAGCUGGAAAGGAGCUCAGGCUGGCCUGGAACCAAAGCCCAUGCUAACUCCUUGUACAGACUUUGUAAAGAUUUGGAUGAGAAAGGACACGUUAGAGAGCUCUGCUACUUCUGUGACUUAAAGAAUAUCUGCAAGGACAGCAGUUUUUAAAACCUGCUAUCAUCUGGCUGGAGGGUUAAUUAGGGUUAUUCUCAUGGAUGGGAUGGCUGGGCUGGGGACACACGCUGGAGGGCCAAGUUUGCCCUGGAAUUCUUCAAGAAGGAGCCUGAUCUCACACCUACGAUUCUACUGCAGCCUGCUCUCUCCACAGGGGGAGGCAGGGCCCUUCACUUAAUAAUUGCCACCAUUUACUGAGGGAGGUGAAGGGUGCUAGGGAGACUUCGUCUGCAUCCAGUGCCUUGUCAUGUCAAGUCUCACAAUGAUUCUACAUGGAAGGUACUACUGGGAUGCCCUUCUUUGGAUGGGGUGCCAGGGCACAGGGAGGUUAGGAGACCUGCCAGGGCGGCAGAGCUGGGUUCCAGGCUAACUUGGGAUCCCAUCCUCCUAACCGAGAGCUCAGGAAUGAGGUGCUCAGGGCUGGACCACCAGCCUUUUUGCCUGUGAUCAUCAGAGCCUCCUGUCAGCCCUGGAAGGCACCCAGGGCAGGGGCAUUCUCUCUGCCUUACAGAUGGAGAAACUGAAGCCCAGGGAGAGGAGGAGGCUCACUCCCUCUCCUUGCUCAGCGUGCUCGGUCUAGAAUGGUGAAGAGGGAAGUCAUGGGGAAAAGUUCACGAACAGUGCUGGACUUCUGCCUGCCAGCUGAACUGUGGCCUCAGUCAGGGCUGGGUGUUCCUUCCAGGGAACUCAAGGUGGGGCAGGAUGCGUAGGACUGAGAUCAGAGGGCAAACCAGGCCAGGAAGAGGGGAGGGCAGGCCUCUAAGGGGUUGUGGAAAGAGGAAGGAGCCUAGAACAGGCCAGGAAGAGGGGAGGGCAGGACUCUAGGGGGUUGUGGAAAGAGGAAGGAGCCUAGAACAGGCCAGGAAUGGGGCUUGGCCCCAGGAUUACUCUGAUGGAGGUUUAAACAGGGGCCAUGUGGGAUGUGGCGCUCUGGCAUCACAGGCUCCUGGGUGCAAAUUAUGCCUCUGCUCCUCAUGGGGAUGGUGAGUUCGGGCUCAGGGAAAGAGCCUCAGCGUCCUCAUCUGGAAAGGGCCGAAGCACUGUGGGAACACCAUGGUAUCUGGAACACUGCGGGGUUAGCUCCUGGCUCUGUCACUUCCAGUGUGACCCGGGGCAAGUGCAUUUGCCUCUCUGGACCUCAGUUUCCUCAUCUGUCAGAUGGGCCUGUAAUAAUAGUACCCACCUCACCCGGCUGUUGUGAGGGUAGAAGGGUCUAGCAGCAUAUGUAGAAGGCUUCGAGCCGGCUUUGCACCUGGCCAGUCUUUGCUGCCGUCAUCAUCGUCUUCUUCAUCUCCCUCCAAGGAUUCUUGGGAGGCUUCUUCAAGGCACUGGUGCACACAGUCUGGCACAGGCAUUGUCAGACCAUUCACUCAGGGAGAAGCCAGCUGCCGUGUUGUAAGCAGUCCCGUGGACAGAUUUUGGGGCCCCUCUCCCUGGUCUCACAGGCGAAUCUAGCAAGCCACCUGCAUAGGUCUUAAGUCAUUACAAUAAAAUCCACGUUGUCCUGUGCAGCAGCCACACAGCCCAUCUUCAGCUUGUGUCAAAAUGACCUUGCAACCCCCCACCUCAUGACUGAAGACGCCAGCUGGACAGAUCCACAACAGGAACAGACAAGGGGGUACCUCGCUCUCACAUUACCCAGCUGUGUUUCUUAGAGACUGGGGGAAUAAUUAACAACCCUGGUCCUUGCCUCCCUCCACACAUAGAUAACAUCAGCAUCACUGAACUCGUUUCAUGUGUAACCAGGGAAAUCUUGUUUAUGUUACCUUCAACGUGUAAUGUAGAGAAAAGCCCAGAUGUACUCAAUCUGGGUUUUUUUGAAAUCCAGUUGUGGGUUUUUUUUUUCCUUUUCCUCUUCCCUGCACAUGCACUGUUUUGUGAAAGAGAUAUAAGCAGCACUUAAACUCACGUACUUCGGAGCAGUUCCAUCAGAGCGCUCUGCUGAACUGUUUUUCCCGGGGUUGGAACUCCGCACGCUGAUUACUGAAUAAACUCCUUCACUAAUAUCACCCAGACUCUUUGUUUCAGCCAACAGUCCUAGGGAGAUUUCCACGUGCUGAGGAACUGAGGCAUCCUGCUAACAACCACGUGGAGCCUUCAGAUGACGGCAGCCUUGGCCAACAUUUGAGCUGCAAGCCCCUGAGAGACCCUGAGCCAGAACCACAGCUAAGCUGCUCCUGGAUUCCUGCUCCACGGAAACUGAGCUGGAAAUAUUUGUGGUUUUAAACUGCUAAAUUUGGACUAUUUUGUUUUGCAGCAAUAUCUUGCAGCUAUCUUGUUAAAUCUAUCACUAAGUAUUUGAUUUUUUUUUUGGCUUAAACAACACAAAUUUAUUUUCUCAUCGUUCUGGAGGAUAGAAGUCCAAGAUCAAGGCACCCCUAGGGUUGGUUUCUGGUGAGGGCUCUCUUCCUGGCUCAUAGAUGGCCGCCUUCUCGCUGUGUCCUCAUGCGGCUUCCCCUCUGUGAGCACUGAGAAAGAGGACUCUCUUGUGUCUCUUGUCUCAUAAGGACACCAGUCCUAAGGAAUAAGACCCCACCCCUAUGACCUCACUUAACCUUUAUUCUCUCCCUUAUAGGCCCUACCUCCAAAUACAGUCACUUGGGGUUGGGGCUUCAACACAUGAAUGGGGAGGGGGCUGCUCACAAUUCAGUCCAUAACAGGUGGUACUCUGAGGACUAUUACUUUGUUAAAAUAUCCUAAACUACUUCCAGAGUGACAGUCUGUCAUCACCUACAAGUGAUCUCGAGGCUCAGGAAAGAGCCCCGAUCAGGCUCUUAAUUUUUCCCAGUUGGUUAUCGACUUUACUACAUGCUUUUCUGGCUUAUAAUAUUUCACAGUCUUCUACCAACUCUCUAAUACGAAGCACUUGUCCUGUGGACUCUCUUCAAAGAACUGCCGUCUGGUCAGCUUGAACUAUCAAAAGGCUUGCUGAGAGGGCGAAAUUAAUAAAACAUGACUUGACCCAUUUAGUCCUAUAAAUUCCCUAAAUUCUAUCCUUAGAUUAAAAUGGAUCAUUGGAAAGCUUCAUACUGGGACUAUAUUCGGAGUCUUUAAAAUCUCUAGGUCUGAGCUGCAUUUUAAUGUUAUGUUCUUGAAGGAACUUGUGAGAAAUGGCCAUGUAAAACUCAUUACUUUGACUGUUUUCAG